rnacentral:tRNA from 1 species
CCUGACUGGCUCAGUCACUGGAGCAUGUCAUGUCUCAAUUUUAGAGUUGUGGGCUCAAGCCCACAUUAGGUG